rnacentral:rRNA from 1 species
CCUACGGGAGACAGCAGUGAGGAAUAUUGGUCAAUGGACGAGAGUCUGAACCAGCCAAGUAGCGUGAAGGAUGACUGCCCUAGGGGUUGUAAACUUCUUUUAUAUGGGAAUAAAAUGUUCCACGUGUGGGAUUUUGUAUGUACCAUAUGAAUAAGGAUCGGCUAACUCCGUGCCAGCAGCCGCGGUAAUACGGAGGAUCCGAGCGUUAUCCGGAUUUAUUGGGUUUAAAGGGAGCGUAGGUGGAUUGUUAAGUCAGUUGUGAAAGUUUGCGGCUCAACCGUAAAAUUGCAGUUGAAACUGGCAGUCUUGAGUACAGUAGAGGUGGGCGGAAUUCGUGGUGUAGCGGUGAAAUGCUUAGAUAUCACGAAGAACUCCGAUUGCGAAGGCAGUUCACUGGACUGCAACUGACACUGAGGCUCGAAAGUGUGGGUAUCAAACAGGAUUAGAUACCCGUGUAGUC